AUAAAGGCGAAACAUGGAGCAACCUCAAACUUGCGUCAUUCCAAUAGUUUGUAUUCAGAGCCAAAAUAUCUUUAACGUAUAUUAAUCUUAUAUUUUAAACAGGAGUCCGAGGUUAUUCCACACUCUCCGGAAUCGAAGCCAAACCCUGAAUCUUUGGAAUUUGCCACGAAAAUGCCACUUAAAUUCGAUCCACUGGUUGCUGCGGAUAACUCGCAGCAUGCCGCUUUCGAACGCGAUUCAUCGAUGUGUAAAAAAAUCUGUGUUUUCAUCUUCGUGUUGAUAACCUGCUCUAUUUACAACGUUUUAGGGUUAAUAGUCAUCGUGUUCAGCAGCAAUUCCCCGCUGAACCAUUUGGCGGCGUUUUUUGGCGUAUUGAUUUCUGAUUUUCUUCUGUGGCCGAUUGCAA